CCUUCUGCUGCUUGCUCACUUUCGGUGCGCACGUCUCAUGCUGUGCAAACGAAAGGGGACACCAGAGAAGACGUGCCCCCUCCCUCGCUCUAUCACCCGCCGAUUCGCGCUCCAGCAAAAGAUGGAAUUGACUGUAGGGAAUAGGCAAGUGCUAGUGACUGCACACAAAACGUACAGUGAGCCAGAUGGGCUGGAUAGUCUUCGAGCGUUCGCUCAGUACCCUCCGCUGCGCACCUACCUGGCCGACUGUGCGGAGAGCGGUCCCAUCCCUGAAGCCGUUGUAGUGCGGCGCUUGCACCGUGUGGCGCAUCGUAUUACUGGCGCCGUGGCCGACCUGGUCUAUCGGGACGCAUGCAGCGGCACGCAAACAGAACGUGCACUGCACCUUACCAACGCCCAUCCGGCUGUGCUGCUGCCCAUCGUUACUGUAAAGGAGCAGCGCUACGCAUUGCUGGCGCGGCAGGCGGAGGUAUCUCAAGGACUCGGAAUUGUCACCACGGCGAUGCGUGGUGUUGUGAAUGCCGAGGGUGGCUUCGCCAGUGACACCUAUGGCAGUGCGCUGGAAAAGGUCGGAAUUCGACUUGCGGAUGCAACUCCUCUCUCAUCUACUGCUUUUACCAUAGGCAACGAGGGCGAGCCCGCUAUUCGUUUCUUCACUCUGACCGUGGCGUGCGAUGAGGAGCAGGCAGAGCAGCUUCAUGAGGACCCGCGUUUAGCACUGGUGGCGCUCAAGGACGUCUUCGGCGCAGGGGAUGCCGCAGCGUCCCUGGCAGUGUCCUUGGUCUCGGCCACUGCCUAGUUGCACCGCACACCGAAGGAAGAGGGACAAGACUCACGGCUAGUGCAAUUACCGGCGGUCUUUUUCUUGGUCUGCCGGCAUCGUUUUCCCCUCUCUCUCUCAGACGUCGUGCGACGUUGUGAUGUCUCUAUCACGUUCUUUUCCCAUUUACGUUUCGAUUGUAUGUCUCAUCGCCCCCUUCUUGCGAGCGUCCGCGUGUAUGAAUCCCUCUCUCAUGUACAGCCAAAUCACACUUGCACCUGUUUGUGCGCAUGCCUGACUUCCGCCCUUCUCUUGCUUCUGUGUGGCCCUUACCCCCUCUCGCCCUCACAUUUGUGUGCCGCCCGAUGCGACCGCCAAAACGACGCUGACAUCACUGCCGUUUGGAGAAGCGCCUUGGUGGCCACCCAUCGCAUCUUUUCCGUAGCAUGGCUUAAAGAAACGCUGCGCACGUUGACUGUGAUCAAGCUCUCCUUUGCAGAUGAAAGCUCCAGUGUGUCCUACGGAGGACCCCGCAGUGGCCGAGCGUUACCGUCGAUGUCCCGUUGUGCUUGCAGUACCGUAUGGUGCAGGCUUCCUCCGAGAUGGGGGACUCGCAACCGGUGCAGUAUCGAAACUUGUGCACUGCCCUCGACAGAAAAAGGGUAGUCUCUCCCUCUCUCCCCUUCACGCUCGCUACUUGCCCCCCCCCCCCCCCCCCCUCCUCCUCGCAUUUUCUUGAGUUGCACGCCGUGUGCCUGGCUCUUUUGCAG
rnacentral:misc_RNA from 1 species